GGCGGCAUACCCAAGUGGUAAGGGAAGCGCCUGCAAAGCGCUCAUUCCCCGGUUCGAAUCCGGGUGCCGCCUCCA
rnacentral:tRNA from 1 species